rnacentral:lncRNA from 1 species
NCAACUUUCUGUUUAUUUAAAAGACAACCAUCAAAUAUUAAGUAUUAACCACCUAGUACCUGCUCCUCCCUUUUAGCUCUGGUCUCUCGUUCUGCUGCAUGUUCAACAGCUUUCAACUCGGAAAUAUACUCAUUGAACAAUAAUUCCCUAUCCUCAUGUUUCACAGAUUUAUAUCUCGGGUCAUCUCUUAAACUCUCUUUAACCUGCAUCAACGAAACACAAAUUAAACAACACACCACAAAAAGUUGAGAAUAACAUGAACUAAAAUUUCAUAACCCCCCCAC